rnacentral:tRNA from 1 species
AAGACGUAGCUGAUGCUUGCGUUCUGCCUACGUCUUGGUGUGCUAAGCGCCUUCCCGUACGCUUAC